rnacentral:rRNA from 1 species
UACGGGGGGGGCAAGCGUUGUUCGGAAUUACUGGGCGUAAAGGGCUCGUAGGUGGCCAACUAAGUCAGACGUGAAAUCCCUCGGCUUAACCGGGGAACUGCGUCUGAUACUGGAUGGCUGGAGUAUGGGAGAGGGAUGCGGAAUUCCAGGUGUAGCGGUGAAAUGCGUAGAUACCUGGAGGAACACCGGUGGCGAAGGCGGCUCACUGGACCGGUACUGACGCUGAGGCGCGAAAGCGUGGGGAGCAAACGGG